CCCGUUACAAUUCUUUUCUAUCUUGCUUAGUUUUAGAGAUAGUUUUACCAGAAACAGUAUUCCGCCAUCUUGCGUUUUUUUUCGACCUAAUUAGUGCAGUUUUGGUAACUUGAAAAUUAAUUAAGAGAAGAAUCUUUUGUACGUGACGUAACACGCGCUCAAAACUAACGAAUGUACUUUCCCCUUGGUUAUUAUACCAUAUUAAUUUUUUAUAAUUUUUUUUAUUUUUGGUACGGUUUUCAUGCGGUAAACAAACAUAAAAAAGUAUGUUUAGUGCUCUAUCUGUAAAAGUAUACUGAAUGAAGAGAUUUUAGAUGGUACGCCAAAGAGAAAAUGAUGUCUGAAGUU